GAGUUUGAUCCUGGCUCAGAACGAACGCUGGCGGCGUGCUUAACACAGCAAGUCGAACGCGAACGGUUCCUUCGCAUGCAAGUCGAGCGAAUCUCUUCGGAGAUUAGCGGCGGACGGGUGAGUAACACGUGGGCAACCUGCCUGUAAGACUGGGAUAACUUCGGGAAACCGGAGCUAAUACCGGAUAAUUUCAGACAUCUCCUGGUGACCGAAUAAAAGAUGGCUUUUAGCUAUCACUUACAGAUGGGCCCGCGGCGCAUUAGCUAGUUGGUGAGGUAACGGCUCACCAAGGCGACGAUGCGUAGCCGACCUGAGAGGGUGAUCGGCCACACUGGGACUGAGACACGGCCCAGACUCCUACGGGAGGCAGCAGUAGGGAAUCUUCCGCAAUGGACGAAAGUCUGACGGAGCAACGCCGCGUGAGCGAUGAAGGCCUUCGGGUCGUAAAGCUCUGUUGUUAGGGAAGAACAAGUACCGUUCGAAUAGGGCGGUACCUUGACGGUACCUAACCAGAAAGCCACGGCUAACUACGUGCCAGCAGCCGCGGUAAUAC
rnacentral:rRNA from 1 species